rnacentral:rRNA from 1 species
GAUGAACGCUGGCGGCGUGCCUAAUACAUGCAAGUAGAACGCUGAAGGAGGAGCUUGCUCUUCUGGAUGAGUUGCGAACGGGUGAGUAACGCGUAGGUAACCUGCCUGGUAGCGGGGGAUAACUAUUGGAAACGAUAGCUAAUACCGCAUGACAACAGUUAUUGCAUGAUAACUGUUUAAAAGGGGCAACUGCUCCACUACCAGAUGGACCUGCGUUGUAUUAGCUAGUUGGUGAGGUAACGGCUCACCAAGGCGACGAUACAUAGCCGACCUGCGAGGGGGAUCGGCCACCCUGGGACUGAGACACGGCCCAGACUCCUACGGGAGGCAGCAGUAGGGAAUCUUCGGCAAUGGACGGAAGUCUGACCGAGCAACGCCGCGUGAGUGAAGAAGGUUUUCGGAUCGUAAAGCUCGGUUGUAAGAGAAGAACGAGUGUGAGAGUGGAAAGUUCACACUGUGACGGUAGCUUACCAGAAAGGGACGGCUAACUACGUG